GAUGAACGCUAGCGGCAGGCUUAAUACAUGCAAGUCGAGGGGUAACAUGGUAGCAAUACUGAUGACGACCGGCAAACGGGUGCGGAACACGUACAGAACCUUCCUUUAAGCGGGGGAUAGCCCGGAGAAAUCCGGAUUAAUACCCCAUAGUAAUAUUUGGUGGCAUCAUCGGGUAUUUAAAGAUUUAUCACUUAAAGAUGGCUGUGCGGCUGAUUAGGUAGUUGGUGUGGGUAACGCCCACCAAGCCAGCGAUCAGUAACUGGUGUGAGAGCACGACCAGUCACACGGGCACUGAGACACGGGCCCGACUCCUACGGGAGGCAGCAGUAAGGAAUAUUGGUCAAUGGACGCAAGUCUGAACC
rnacentral:rRNA from 1 species